GCGGGAGUAACUCAGUGGUAGAGUGCCACCUUGCCAAGGUGGACGUCGCGGGUUCAAGUCCCGUCUCCCGCUCCA
rnacentral:tRNA from 2 species